GGGGAAUAUUGGACAAUGGGCGAAAGCCUGAUCCAGCCAUGCCGCGUGUGUGAAGAAGGCCUUUUGGUUGUAAAGCACUUUAAGUGGGGAGGAAAAGCUUAUGGUUAAUACCCAUAAGCCCUGACGUUACCCACAGAAUAAGCACCGGCUAACUCUGUGCCAGCAGCCGCGGUAAUACAGAGGGUGCAAGCGUUAAUCGGAAUUACUGGGCGUAAAGCGCGCGUAGGUGGUUAUUUAAGUCAGAUGUGAAAGCCCCGGGCUUAACCUGGGAACUGCAUCUGAUACUGGAUAACUAGAGUAGGUGAGAGGGGAGUAGAAUUCCAGGUGUAGCGGUGAAAUGCGUAGAGAUCUGGAGGAAUACCGAUGGCGAAGGCAGCUCCCUGGCAUCAUACUGACACUGAGGUGCGAAAGCGUGGGCAGCAAACAGGAUUAGAUACCCUGGUAGUCCACGCCGUAAACGAUGUCUACCAGUCGUUGGGUCUUUUAAAGACUUAGUGACGCAGUUAACGCAAUAAGUAGACCGCCUGGGGAGUACGGCCGCAAGGUUA
rnacentral:rRNA from 1 species